CUGACCGUCCCUUGUCCUAAAUGGCAGAAGCUUGGUGAUUGGUACUUGAGAUUUUAAAUUCAAAUUUUACUUGAUUUAUAUUUUCAGUUUUGUUUAUUUCUAAAAAUUAAAUUAUAUAAAAUUUUUCUGUCAAAAUCUGAUUUUUUUCUUUUUUCUUCUUGUCAUUUAGAAACCUACACUUUGCCCCCUUAUAAAAUAAAAAAAUACUCACUUUGCCCCCUGUCGUUAAAGAAGAAUUAAAUAAAUUUUAAAUUAAAAUAUAGAUUCACAGUAAAUAUUUUUCGGUUGGCAAAAAUUUGGAUAAGCAUAAAUUUUUUUCUGUUGUAGAGAUAAAAAUGAAUUAAAAGUUUGUUUAAUUCUGUUAUUUAUUUUACGUAAGGAAAGAUGAAUCAAUUUUUUUCGCUAAAAAAUGGGUCCGUCGACAGACCGAAAUUUAAAAUACGUACUUUUAUAUAUAGUAUAGAUUUAUAUAUAUAAAUAAAUAAUUAUAUAUAUAAUAUAAAUUUUUAUUAUUUGGUUUUAACUUAAUCUAAAU
rnacentral:lncRNA from 1 species